AGCGAACGUUUGCGGCGGGCUUAACACAUGCAAGUCGAACGGGCUGUUCCUUCGGGGGCAGUCAGUGGCGCACGGGUGCGUAACACGUAGGUAAUCAACCCUCUGGUUGGGGAUAACACUUCGAAAGGAGUGCUAAUACCCGGUAUGGCGCAGCGGUCUUCGGAUCGCGGCGAGAAAGACCCCGCAAGGGUUGCCAGAGGACGAGCCUGCGGCCCAUCAGCUAGUUGGCGAGGUAACGGCUCACCAAGGCAAAGACGGGUAGCUGGUCUGAGAGGAUGAUCAGCCACACUGGAACUGAGACACGGUCCAGACUCCUACGGGAGGCAGCAGUGGGGAAUAUUGCGCAAUGGGCGAAAGCCUGACGCAGCCACGCCGCGUGAGCGAUGAAGG
rnacentral:rRNA from 1 species